AGCCGCUUGAUUAGUCACUAGUGAGAAUAUAAAGGUAGGCAUGCAAAAAAGGCCAGGCGAGUUGGAUACGAUCUCGAGUCGAGCGUGUUUGUUACAGCGUUUGAUACGUACAGCCCGGAGUUCUGUCAGCCAAUCCUACUGAACAAGAUGAAAACGACCCUGGUGUUGCUUCUUGUCGCCUUGGUCAUCUCGUCUGAGAUGAUGACUGCGGACAGCUUUGUUGGCGGCGGCGGCAGAGGUGGAAAAGCUAUCAUGAAGGAGCGAGCCCGCAGAGGCGUGUCUCCCGUUGAGGCUCAGAAGCUGAAGGCGCUGUUGGCCCGCCGCCAGGCUGAGACUGGACGCCGUGAAGUGGAACCCCCGAGCUCGGGAGGGAGAGGCCGCGUCAAAUGAAUGGCAAAUAGGGCAGUCUGGGUGAUCACAUGACCAUCACGUCACCUGCAGUCAAGCUCUGUCAAGCUGCUUUUUGCAGACACCUAUAACAUUGCUUUAGUAGCUGCCGCUUAACAGAAAAUGUUUUUAGUUUUGACUUUGACUGAUGACAAAGUUUUACGUCUAUGUUUGUUUACGUAUGCUACGACAUAGGCCACCAAAGGCAACACGACAAAUCAAACGUUCGUUUAUAGAAAUCAUUAACUAUAGACGAAUUUUUGUAACAGCAGCAAAGUAUGCAUUCGUCUUUGUAGAAUAUGUAUAAGAUCAUGGGUCUGUUAUGUAAAACGUACAUACAUCCGUUUAGCUACGUCACAGUCUCAGUUUAUGGUAGGAUUUUAGUAGAUGCUAAGUAGAUGCCUGGAGCUGUCUGUACUGCGAUGGAAACUGCAAAUAAAACCUUGAAACUGCAA